rnacentral:snRNA from 1 species
GGAUAUGAGGGCAAUCUGGCAGCAGUAUCUGUCACCCCGUUGAUUUCCAGGGCUGAUUCAGCUGAUCUGGCAGGCUAGGGGGGUGUCCCCUUCCUCCCUCACUGCUCCCUGUGCGUCCCUCCCGACCUUCCCCGAUAGAGACCCUACAGUUCAUCAGUCAGGGGUAUAGGGUAGCUGCGCUCCCCUGCGAGAAACAAGCUCAGCCAUUCUGCGGUCCCAGAUCAUGUUUCU